UUGUCUUAUAUGCAAACGUUUCUUGUAUGAGAAGUUACUCCCAACACGUUUCUGAUAUAUCAAUGUAGGAACUUCAAACAACGACACAUACUGUACAUGUAUGUCAUCGCACUUUUAUAUUUACUGUAGCUGAUCGCAAUAAUUAUGAUAUUUUUUUUAAAAAUGCAAUGACAAUCGGGAUCAGGAGAUUCAGGGCGAUUUCAUGGUAACAAUAUAAUAUGAAAGGUGAAAAUAACGAACAGUGCUCAAUCUCAUAAAUCGGAUAUCAUCAGUAUAAGUAUCAUCAUCGUACAACGUAUAUAUGAAAAUGUUGAGUGAUUCGAUAUAAAAAAGUUAUGCUACAUGAUUUUCUGACAAGACCAUUUUCACCACUUGUCAAUAAAGACAAACAUUAUGGCAUAUCCCCCGGAAUACAAAUACAACAACCUGUCCAUCGUCACGUUCUGUUUUAUUGUGACGUCAUUUGGUGAGAAAUGUACAGAGGUAUAUUUAUACUGCACUAUGAGUGUUCUUAGGAAUCUAUGUGGAUAAGAUUGUGAAUAUGCUAUCUAUUCAACUAUGGAUUUAAUCAGGUAAUCUGAUGUUUUUAAAAUUCAUUUAAACCAAUUUUACUAUUUUUUUCAGAUUGUGAGAGAGGGUACUACCUGAGUGUUAAGAACCCAGAGCUACAUAAUCGAAACAACUCUGCCUGUUGGCCUUGUGGAAACUGCAUAGAUAAUGUACCCUGUAACACCACAACUGGCCAAUGUUCUGACGGAUGCAAGGCCAACUACAAACCGCCCUACUGCACAGAAUUGAUUACAGGUGACAAUGCGGUCCAAACCACAAGAAUUAUCAUUGCCAUCCUUACCACAGUCUCAAUUGUUGCUAUAGCAACAAUUAUUGGGAUGAUUUUCCGUCAAAGGUUGAAGAGACGAUCGGAAAGCAAACCACCUGAACCCGAGAAUGAAUGCAACAGGACUAUGGAUGCCACCCGACAGCGACUGCGAUCUGAAGGAGGACCUGAGUUCCCGUUACAUGACUAUGACAAGAUCAACACAACAAUGGAUGACCAUACUUACGAUCAGGUUGGUCUCUCGAAUGAAGACGAAUAUCAAGACGUCCAAGCCUGCGGAUCAAGCACGGGUUCUGAUCCCUGAGUCUGAGUGUGGGAUGUACUACAGAAAGAUCUGUUAACAAUUCAAUUUCUUUUGUAAAAGAAAAAAUGACUUUCAUUUGACUCUAUCACAUUUAUGUGUCGAAUAAAUUAAGUUAUCCGUAAGUUGCGCCAUAUGACGUCAUAUGUAGGACGUGAUGAUACGUUUGGAUAUUCCGUUUCCAUUCCACAGCCUCACUUCACAAUUUCUUCAUAACUACAAUAAAUCUGAUUUUCUAAAUAAAACUAAAAGGAAUGCAGGUGACAACUUCUCAUGUUAUAUAAUAAUUUGGGGGUAAUUUUGCGGGUUACACAUUUAAUACUAGUAUGUAAGUGACAGCUUCCUAUGUUAUAUAAUAAUUUGGGGGUAAUUUUGCGGGUUAUACAUUUAAUACUAGUAUAUAAGUGACAACUUCUCAUAUUAUAUAAUAAGUUGGGGGUAAUUGUACGGGUUACAUAUUUAAUAUUAGUAUGUAAAACCCGAACAUAGCCCUUCAGAAUGUCCAAAAAAGAAACCACCCAGUGUCAAAAAAAUACCUUAUGCCAGUAUAUUUGAACCCACAUCGAUUUACAAUUCACUUCGUACAGCUUCUUAUAUAUCAUAAAUAUUCCUUCCGAGAGUUUUUCGAAUGUUAUCUCUGUGUCAAAUAGAACAUAUUCAGAGUAGCAUACUAAUGAUAAAAUCAUGAUCUGAAAUCGUCAAGAAGAUGACGGCUCGGAUCUGUAAAAUUUGUAUGGUGGUCAGCAAGGGCCAUGACUUCGUGGGUGGUACGAAGAUGUUGCUCGUCUUCUUGUAGAGAAAUGCGGCUUAGUGUGUGGGGUUCCUUUUAUAUUUUGUAUAAUUUAUAUCUUAAUGAAUGAUUUUGUAAAUAGCAUUACUAGUUUCUAUACUGUAUUAUUCUUUUUAUUAUUUGUAUGCAACACGUCUGAAUAGAUUCAUUUGCUGCUACGCAUUUGCAUUGUACAGAUCUUUUUCUCUAAACUCUUUGAUACAGAAGAUUAAUGAUGAGUACUGAUCCACUGAUUGUAAAAUUGUUCUAGGUCACAUCAAAGAAAUACCAUCCAAUAAAAGCAUCCAUGCUUUGUAUUGAUUGUAUGUUGGUGUAUUUCAUGAUAACAGAUACAUGUAUGAACAGUG